UUCGCGUAUUUUGAAAUGAGUCGUUGAAAAAGACCUUGUGUGAAACCACUUCUAAAUUCCGUUUACAAAUCAAACACAAACGAUAUUGAUCUUUAACGAUCCGGGAUAACGAUUAUUUUAUGUUUGCGAGUGGUUUUUUUUAUUUGGUCACAUUGGAUGUGGAGUCUUGAAAUGUCGCGACAUCGGCCCGAUAGUGAUGUAUAUAUACGGUGAGGGACGUCGCUAUAUUUAUCUAAUGAGAACUGAUAACAUGGGACGCGCUGACGACUGCUCAUCAUUAGGAAUGCACACGUGAAUAAAUGACGAUGAAAAUAGAACAACAGUUAACUUUGGCCCGAUAUCCUAAAGAGGAUCAUCAAGUUUUUUUUUUUUAAAACAAGUGAAGCAGCAUCGGUGGUCUACAUGGUGAGAAGUCGUGACUGAAGACCAUGCUUUUACAACCACAAUCUGAAUAUACCUAACGGCUGUUUUGUACAAGAACUCUCCUACCCAUCGAAAAAGAAGGCACGAUUGCUUCGCAAUAGAAAUAGGCAGAAUAAUUACACCUAUAAUAGACGUAGGCUAAAAGUUAAUUAAGAAAGAAAAAAGUGUUUAUGCUACUAAAUACAAAAUUGACUUUAUUUUAUUGAUAAUUGUCAGAAACUCUGCAGCAGUUCAGCUUAUGCUGGCCGCAUACGCAACCAGCGCUGACUCUCAACCAAGAUUACGCUUUAGCACCAGUAUUUAGAGUACUUAGAAGCCAUGGAAACUUUACUACAAUUUUUUUAGUUUUAAGAUCAAAAACACGCUUUUCGUUCUUAUUAAAAUAAACCAAAUGGACCUCAAUUCGAUGAGUUCACUGACAGUUCAAUAGUUAUGAUAUCGCAGCUCCUUAUUAGGCCACAAGCUUAAUAUCGGUAAAUCCCAGAGCCCAUAGACAUCUACAAACUAAAUGCCGCCUACCUUGAGACAUGAGUUCUAAGGCCUCAGUUUUUACAGUACAACGGCUGCCCCACCCUUCAAACCGAAACGCAUUACCGCUCCACGGCAGAAAUAUGCAGGUUGAUGGUACCUACCCGUGCGGACUUACAAUAAAUACAAUACAAUAUAAUCAGUAAAGUCAGUAUGCAUAGAUUUCAUGACUAAAACUAUAUGUUGUGGCAAAUAAACAGAAAGCCCAGCGUCGAACCUGCGACUACGGACGCGUUUUUUUUUUUUUUGUUUUUUUUAUUGCUUAUAUGGAUGGACGAGCUCACAGCCCACCUGGUGUUAAGUGGUUACUGGAGCCCAUAGACAUCUACAACGUAAAUGCGCCACCCACCUCGAGAUAUAAGUUCUAAGAUCUCAGUAUAGUUACAACGGCUACCCCACCCUUCGAACCGAAACGCAUUACUGCUUCACGGCGGAAAUAGGCGGGGUGGUGGUACCUACCCGUGCGGACUCACAAGAGGUCCUACCACCAGUGAAUAAAGUGCGUUCUAAGAAAGCACUGAGCUAAAACGCGUUAUACAAAUGACGCAAACUAACGAUUACAUAACACAGCCAGUGAACACUAGACGACCGCGUAAUGUUAUGCAAAAUAUUAGCAUACGCCUAUAAAUUUAUAUUCUGUAAUUUAACAUAAUAUAUCGUCUUCUCGCAUUAAAACUGUAUAAUCUCAAAACUUACUAAUUUUACAGGAGAAUGUUUUAAAGGUUUAACAUUUGUGAUAUUUUUAAUACUAAUCAUCUUUGCAACAUUUUUUUUUUACCAGUUCAUUUCUAGGUACCACCGCCCUGCUUGUUUCUGCCGUGAAGCAGUGAUGCGUUUCGGUUUGAAGGGUGGGGCAGCCGUUGUAACUAUACUGAGAUCUUAGAACUUAUAUCUAAGGUGGGUGGCGCAUUUACAUUGUAGAUGUCCAUGGGCUCCAUUAACCACUUAACAUCAGAUGGGCUGUGAGCUCGUCCACCCACCUAAGCUAUAAAAAAAAAAGUAAUAUAGCACGUCCAUGGCCUAUUGAAAUAUGGCCCCUCAGUCCAAAUUCGACUAUAAUUCUCAAUCACAGAUUUCGCCAAAACUAUAGAAAAAUAAUAUUAAAGACAAACAAUAUUAAUCUAUUCUCAAAUUGACCACAGACUAACAAUAAACAAAAGAGUUUAAAUGCGCGUGUGUGUCAAAUACAUGGUAGUGUGUGUAAUGUUUCCCUUAUUGAUUUAAUGUGUUAUUUAUGCAUAAUUUUAAGAAAAUAUUAACAUUCUGCACUAAUUCUCUAUGUUUUCGAUAAGUUUGGGAAAUUUCGUACUCCUCCGUCUGCGCAAUUUUCGUAAAAAAGGGUACAAAGAUUUUGCUUCACGUAUUAUUAUAUUUGAAAUAACAUAAUAUCUGUGAAAGUGCACAGUGUUAGAAAAAGAAAUCGAAACAUGUUGACUUUUCGGGUUCUUCCAAAUA